ACCUCACAUCCACGUCAAUCCCGUGGGCUGGCCGUCCUCCUCCAGUUCGCCGCCCCUCCCAACCGCAUCAUCAUCGAGCAUCCCUAACCGCAUCAUCAUCGAGCAUCCCCAAUCGCCGCUCUCCCUAAUCCUCCUCCCAGCCAUAUCUUUUCUUUGGGACGUCCAUGCUAUGCUGAAAUCGAUCUAAAAUAAUAGGUGAUUUUGACCAUGAUGGUUGAUGGACAUGAUGCAGUCGAGGAGAUUUACCACAACUGUUAGAAGCAGAUUGGAUGGUCGUGGCCGUGAAGCAGGCUGCCUAGCAAAAUAACAAGGGAGGAUUUGUGGCAGAGCUUUUUACCUGGUCGACACCAUUCAGUGUUUUCGUCGCUUAGCAGAUGCUAUCCCUGAAGGUUGAAGCUGGUGCUGCACACAGGAAGAUCCUCCAAGAGCUGUCGUCUGUCUACCACAUCACUCAAUGGAUCUAUACAUGGGCAACAUUUAGCUUCAGGGCGAGCACAUAUUUUGGCUGCUACUAUGGCCUAUGAAGUAUAAUCUCGCCUGCACCUAACUUACAUAGAACUGUUGGAUCAUCACAAGAUUUCCAUAUUGCUCAUGCAUGGAUGUAUUUUUCAUACUGUAAAGCCAUCUCCCACCGUGCAUCCAUUGGUUCACAUACUGGAUGAUAAAUCUGUUAUAUAUAUGCUCAUCAUACACAUGAGCAAA